rnacentral:tRNA from 1 species
UCCUUGUCAGUCCAGUGGUUAGGACUCUGCACUUCCACUUCAGGGGGCCUGGGUUCAAUCCCUGUCAAGAAA